rnacentral:rRNA from 1 species
GAUCCUGGCUCAGAACGAACGCUGGCGGCGUGCCUAACACAUGCAAGUCCAACGUGAAAGGGGAGCAAUCCCCCGGUAGGGUGGCAAACGGGUGAGUAAUACAUGGGUGAUCUACCUUAGGGAUGGGGAUAUCCUUCCGAAAGGAGGGGCAAUACCGAAUAUUGUCCGGAGCCGUGAAGGGUUCCGGGGAAAGGGAGGCCUCUGAUACAAGCUUUCGCCUUAAGAUGAGCCCAUGGCCCAUCAGCUAGUUGGUAGGGUAAAGGCCUACCAAGGCUACGACGGGUCGCUGGUCUGAGAGGACGACCAGCCACACUGGCACUGAGAUACGGGCCAGACUCCUACGGGAGGCAGCAGUGAGGAAUAUUGCGCAAUGGGGGAAACCCUGACGCAGCAACGCCGCGUGUGGGAAGAAGGCCUUCGGGUCGUAAACCACUUUUGCACGGGACGAAAAAGGGAUAUCGAACAA